GUUGGACUAAGUGAUCUUAGAGGCCUUUUCCAAACUUAAUGAUUUUGUGAUUCUCUGAUAAGCUUGUGUUACCGCUCUUGCUUUGUCCCUGAGGAGACCGAUGGGAAACAAGACUCCGCAAAGAUGCGUGCAGCUGUGUGAGCGUCAGAGUUGAGAGCAGCAAUGUGUGUCGCUCCGAAACGUCGCUCCGAAAGUAAUGCCUCCCAUUUAUUCCUGUGAAAACUACAGCCGCUAGGAAGAGCGCAAUAACACAAUUUGAUAGAGAAAACUCUCAGCUAUGAAACAUUCUUUUUUUUUUUUUACAUAGUCACCACCAUUUGGUAUGCAUUUUUACCAGCAGUGAACAAGAGCUUGCAUGCUGUGCUCAUAAAACCUUGCACUGUCACCACUACUGAAAUGCACCACCCACUGCCUCACUAUGUUCACAUCCACUGUUUGGUCUCCAUAAACAUUCAGCAAGCCUCAGUGAAUGUCAGUGGGUGCCAUUUUUUCCACAUAGAGAAAGUCAGUUCUAUACCUUUACUUUAUAUGCAUUUCCAUGCCAGACACCAUUGUGUCAGACUGCCUCUCAGCUGCCAUCUGUCACAUGACAACAAAAUGUAACAAUAUUGGCAGUAUGGUUCAACCUUUACUGCCAUACCACCAACAUCCACCUCUAAUGUUGUGGGCCAACAUAAUAAAUUAGGAGGCAUUGCUUUUGGAGCAGUCCUCAAAUAGUAUAGCUAAUGUAUGAAGUAGCAAAACUUUUUUUUUUGUUGUCUUCUUUAGUGAAACAUAAAAAAGAGAGUAACAAAACCAUAAAACUACUGGGAUAUGUGACCUUGUUUUUGUGAAACUAAUGCCUCAAUCUGGUUCAGAGAUGGUGGUUGCAAUUCUUAGUUAGCUCUCAAGGUGUCCGUCAGAGGUUUUUAUGACAUUUUACUCUUCCUGUGCUUCAUCCUUAAAAGUAGUUGUUCACAAAUGUAUGUACUGCCAAAAAGCAAUGACAUGAAUAAGGUGUGAUUGUGAACCUUUUCCUGACCCUCCGCUGACACAGCUCAUAUUCCUUUGGUCCCACUGCUGUUACCAGAGAGAAGAGCUCAGAACAGCCCUUCUGCUUCCCUCAUGAGGAAGCUGUAGGCCCACCACGAGGUCUCCCCUCAGUAUCGUCUUCUCUUGACUAAACAAAGCAAGCAACCUCGGCAGCUCUUCAUACCACUUGCCCUCCAGAUCCCUCAUCACUGAAUGUUGCUGGUUUACUAAUGUAGAUUUCCUAUGGAAGAAAUCUGGAAGAAUCCCAUCUGAAGAAUCCUUUUAGGAUCAGGACUUGAUAGAAGGAAGGAAAACAGCUCAUCUCUUGACAUGAGUGCAAUAGAGCAUUCCAGUUCUUGGUACCUCCAUGGCCUUCAAGUUGCUUCAUUCCUGCUUAACUACCAGUUCAACUCUGCCUGUUUCUGGCAGACUACUUUACCUCUUGACACAGGUCCAAAGGUGAUGGCAUCCUCAAGGUGUAACCCAGUGGUGUUGUCUAAUGCAGCUAGGUGUAUGGCCAACACAAGGCUCACCAUUUCACUUGAGAAACACGUUCAGAAAAAGAGGAAGAGGAGGAAGUGGUGUUGAGUUUGUCUUAACUCCAGAUCAAGCUCUGAUGGCAAGGGUUUAACCAAGCUUGAAAAUGGCAACCUGACCCCUGGAAUCCCCUUCAGCAGGCAGUGACACAGGAGAAAGCAAGGACGUGAAGGUGCAGCCCCAGUAGCAGUGCACAAGGAAGUAAUGGGACUGUGGUGGUAGUGGAAGAUACUCCCACAGCUGAGAAUAUGCUGCUUUCAGGUACCACCCUGCUUUUCUGUGUUUCUACCAUUGGGCUGGAGAGAGAACUCAGCAAGGAGAGGGGGAAUGAAGCAAUAUGGGAAAAAGUUAUUUUUUAGGAAGA
ensembl:lncRNA